rnacentral:lncRNA from 1 species
CUCCAUUUCAGUGCCGUGGGCUUCCCACUGUCGACUGCGGAUUUUUGAACGAGUGCCAUGGGAGGCGACGAACGCGUUGCCAAGCCCCGACCAUUUGGCCCGUAGAUGGUCUCUCUUCGACUGCGCUCUUCAACUCGGUCCCCUUGGCUCUCCACAGCAGAAGACUUGUGGCUGUUUGAGAGGAACAGAAUGCACUUGAAUGAUCUUCGAGAGGCCCGUAGAAAGAACUGCAAAGUCUACUUCCAGAUGGGGCCGGGGAGGCGGGCAUUUCGACAGAGGAGGAGAUUCGACGCCUGGCCUCGUCUUCAAUGCCGGAGAAAGGAACGAAAACGCUUUUCGCUCUAAGGGUUGUGAGAGUGUUACACAGAGGAAACUUCCGCGGUAGGACAGAGGCGCCGACUCAAGACGCAAAAUGCCGGAACUCUUCUGAAGACUGGGCUACAGGCGACCCCAGUCGCCGGGAAUCGCUCUUGAGUCGGAAGAAAAGUAAAAACUGCGUCAAGUGUUAGUCGUUUUCCACGAGAAUCUAUUGAAGCGCCUGCCACUGUCACCCUACGAAGCAACGCCGUCAGAUUCUGCACAGCGUUCUUUUUUGUUUACGAAGUUGACUUGUGACAGACGACCGCGACCUCGAGAUACGAUCGCAGCGGGAAGACGUCUCUGUGCCCAAGGGAAGGACACAGGCACGCAACGUCUGCUCUGCUCUCUGGUCUUCCUCGUUCUGUCGGACCAGUGGGCUCCACUGCAUACAAGCAAAUGCGGAUGGAUACAUGUACACAGCUAUUUCCUUCCUUUCCAGAGGCAGAGAUGCGGACUGAAAGGGAUGGGCUCCUCCAUCCAUGCAGGGAGCUUCUUUGGAGUUUCAGCGGCUCUCGACUGCCCCCCUGAAACCGAGCUGCGAUGCUGGUGCUUUUUCGUUGCAUGUGCGUCCGUAGGCUCCACUUGCUAAAACAGAGGAAUUUCAGCGAGGCUCGUC